AGCGUAGACGGUUAUGUAAGUCAGAUGUGAAAGCCCAGGGCUCAACCCUGGGACUGCAUUUGAAACUAUGUAACUAGAGUGCAGGAGAGGUAAGUGGAAUUCCUAGUGUAGCGGUGAAAUGCGUAGAUAUUAGGAGGAACACCAGUGGCGAAGGCGGCUUACUGGACUGUAACUGACGUUGAGGCUCGAAAGCGUGGGGAGCAAACA
rnacentral:rRNA from 1 species